AUUGAACGCUGGCGGAAUGCUUUACACAUGCAAGUCGAACGGCAGCACGGACUUCGGUCUGGUGGCGAGUGGCGAACGGGUGAGUAAUGUAUCGGAACGUGCCCAGUCGUGGGGGAUAACGUAGUGAAAAUUACGCUAAUACCGCAUACGAUCUAUGGAUGAAAGCGGGGGAUCGCAAGACCUCGCGCGAUUGGAGCGGCCGAUAUCAGAUUAGGUAGUUGGUGGGGUAAAGGCCCACCAAGCCAACGAUCUGUAGCUGGUCUGAGAGGACGAGCAGCCACACUGGAACUUAGACACGGUCCAGACUCCUACGGGAGGCAGCAGUGGGGAAGUUUGGACAAUGGGCGAAAGCCUGAUCCAGCCAUUCCGCGUGCAGGAUGAAGGCCCUCGGGUUGUAAACUGCUUUUGUACAGAACGAAAAGGUUUCUACUAAUACUAGGAGCUCAUGACGGUACUGUAAGAAUAAGCACCGGCUAACUACGUGCCAGCCGCCGCAGUAA
rnacentral:rRNA from 1 species